GAUGAAGAACGUAGCGAAAUGUGAUAAGUAAUGUGAAUUGCAGAAUUCAGUGAAUCAUCGAAUCUUUGAACGCACAUUGCGCCCGUCAGUAUUCUGGCGGGCAUGCCUGUUCGAGCGUCAUUACGCCCCUCAAGUCCCCUGUGGACUUGGUGUUGGGGAUCGGCGAGGCUGGUUUUCCAGCACAGCCGUCCCUUAAAUUAAUUGGCGGUCUCGCCGUGGCCCUCCUCUGCGCAGUAGUAAAACACUCGCAACAGGAGCCCGGCGCGGUCCACUGCCGUAAAACCCCCCAACUUUUUAUAGUUGACCUCGAAUCAGGUAGGACUACCCGCUGAACUUAAGCAUAUCAAUAAGCGGAGGA
rnacentral:misc_RNA from 1 species